CCUACGGGCGGCAGCAGUGGGGAAUAUUGGACAAUGGGGGCAACCCUGAUCCAGCCAUGCCGCGUGUGUGAAGAAGGCCCUCGGGUUGUAAAGCACUUUCAGUGAGGAAGAACGCCUGGUGGUUAAUACCCAUCAGGAAAGACAUCACUCACAGAAGAAGCACCGGCUAACUCCGUGCCAGCAGCCGCGGUAAUACGGAGGGUGCGAGCGUUAAUCGGAAUUACUGGGCGUAAAGCGUGCGUAGGUGGCUUGAUAAGCCGGUUGUGAAAGCCCCGGGCUCAACCUGGGAACGGCAUCCGGAACUGUCAAGCUAGAGUGCAGGAGAGGAAGGUAGAAUUCCCGGUGUAGCGGUGAAAUGCGUAGAGAUCGGGAGGAAUACCAGUGGCGAAGGCGGCCUUCUGGACUGACACUGACACUGAGGUGCGAAAGCGUGGGUAGCAAACAGGAUUAGAUACCCCUGUAGUC
rnacentral:rRNA from 1 species